rnacentral:rRNA from 1 species
GACGAACGCUGGCGGCGUGGAUUAGGCAUGCAAGUCGAACGGUAUCAUCCUUUCGGGGGUGAGAGAGUGGCGAACUGGUGAGUAACACGUAGGUUAUCUACCCUCAAGACGGGGACAACCCAGGGAAACUUGGGCUAAUACCGGAUGUGAGCAACUUUUAGUUGUUUGAAAGGUGGCGUAAGCUGUCGCUUGGGGAUGAGCCUGCGUCCUAUUAGUUAGUUGGUGAGGUAACGGCUCACCUAGGCAAUGAUAGGUAGGCGGCCUUAACGGGUGGUCGCCCACACUGGGAUUGAGAUACGGCCCAGACUCCUACGGGAGGCAGCAGUCGAGAAUAGUCUACAAUGGUCGGAAGACUGAUAGUGCGACGCCGCGUGAACGAUGAAUCCCUUCGGGGUGUAAAGUUCUUUUAUAUGUGAGCAGUGCUUCUUAUAUUAACAGUAUGGGAGAGAGAUAUUAGCAUAUGAAUAAGCAACGGCUAACUCCGUGCCAGCAGCCGCGGU